rnacentral:rRNA from 1 species
UAGGGAAUCUUCGGCAAUGGGGGCAACCCUGACCGAGCAACGCCGCGUGAGUGAAGAAGGUUUUCGGAUCGUAAAGCUCUGUUGUAAGUCAAGAACGGGUGUGAGAGUGGAAAGUUCACACUGUGACGGUAGCUUACCAGAAAGGGACGGCUAACUACGUGCCAGCAGCCGCGGUAAUACGUAGGUCCCGAGCGUUGUCCGGAUUUAUUGGGCGUAAAGCGAGCGCAGGCGGUUUGAUAAGUCUGAAGUUAAAGGCUGUGGCUCAACCAUAGUUCGCUUUGGAAACUGUCAAACUUGAGUGCAGAAGGGGAGAGUGGAAUUCCAUGUGUAGCGGUGAAAUGCGUAGAUAUAUGGAGGAACACCGGUGGCGAAAGCGGCUCUCUGGUCUGUAACUGACGCUGAGGCUCGAAAGCGUGGGGAGCGAACAGGAUUAGAUACCCUGGUAGUCCACGCCGUAAACGAUGAGUGCUAGGUGUUGGAUCCUUUCCGGGAUUCAGUGCCGCAACUAACGCAUUAAGCACUCCGCCUGGGGAGUACGACCGCAAGGUUGAAACUCUAAAGUGAAUU